GGAUUCCCCUAGUAACGGCGAGUGAAGCGGGAUGAGCUCAAGCUUAAAAUCUCUGUCACAAAUUUAUUUUGUGCGGCGAAUUGUAGUCUAUAGAGGCGUGAUCAGUGUAGGCGCUUGAGGUAAGUUCCUUGAAAAAGGACAGCAUGGAGGGUGAAACUCCCGUUCAUACUUAAGUGGCUUGCACGUACGAUUCGUUUUCUUUGAGUCGCGUUGUUUGAGAAUGCAGCGCAAAGUAGGUGGUAAAUUCCAUCUAAAGCUAAAUAUUGGUGCGAGACCGAUAGCGAACAAGUACCGUGAGGGAAAGAUGAAAAGAACUCUGAAAAGAGAGUUAAAGAGUACCUGAAACUGCUGAAAGGGAACCAAAUCGUUUCUAGUGUCUAUAAUCUAUGACAUAUUUCAUUGGGAAGUGUGUGCGUGUGUAUACUAUGGCAGCGGCUUUUUUUAGUUGCGCUUGGUGUGCGUGCUGUAUGUACUAACUGAUGCCCUGUGUUAUAGUGGGACGUCAAGGUCAGUUUGUAUACUGCGGGAAAUGGCUACUGAGGAGGUAGGGCUUACGCUUGCGUUUGUCUAUUAUAUCUUGGUAGUUGUGUCGUGGUUGAGACUGAGGUGUUCUACAACGUGCUUAUGAGUGGGUCUACGUCUCCGUGUGCGCCGUGUGCAGAUAGCUUGCUAUGUGUAUGUGGUGGUGUGUGGAUUGAUAUGGGCUUUAUCUUACUGCCGUUCGGGACUUUGACGAAAUAGAGCGAUUUGACCCGUCUUGAAACACGGACCAAGGAGUCUAACAUAUGUGCAAGUGUUAGGGUGUGGAAACCCCAGCGCGAAAUGAAAGUAAAGGAUAGUGUAAACUAUCUUAGGUAGGAAACGUUAUGAACUUCGGUUUGUGGCGUGGCACUAUCGACCGAUCAUGAACCCUCGUGGUGAAAGAUUUGAGUUUGAGCACAUAUGUUGGUACCCGAAAGAUGGUGAACUAUGCCUGAGUAGGGUGAAGCCAG
rnacentral:rRNA from 1 species